rnacentral:rRNA from 1 species
AUUGAACGCUGGCGGCAUGCCUUACACAUGCAGGUCGAACGGCAGCACGGGAGCAAUCCUGGUGGCGAGUGGCGAACGGGUGAGUAAAGUAUCGGAACGUGCCCAGUCGUGGGGGAUAACGUAGCGAAAGUUACGCUAAUACCGCAUACGAUCUAUGAAUGAAAGCGGGGGAUCGCAAGACCUCGCGCGAUUGGCGCGGCCGAUAUCAGAUUAGGUAGUUGGUGGGGUAAAGGCUCACCAAGCCGACGAUCUGUAGCUGGUCUGAGAGGACGACCAGCCACACUGGGACUGAGACACGGCCCAGACUCCUACGGGAGACAGCAGCGGGGAAUUUUGGACAAUGGGCGCAAGCCUGAUCCAGCCAUGCCGCGUGCAGGAUGAAGGCCUUCGGGUUGUAAACUGCUUUUGUACGGAACGAAAAGGUUUGACUUAAUACGUUGGACUCAUGACGGUACCGUAAGAAUAAGCACCGGCUAACUACGUGCCAGCCGCCGCGGUAAGAC